rnacentral:lncRNA from 1 species
GCGCUCACUGCGGACACAGCCCGGCGCAUCAUACCUGCCUGGCGCCAAGUCAAGUGUGGGCAAGUAUGUCAGUGCAUCAUGCACCAGCUGUGGUGCCUGUGCAAACUGCAGAGCUCGAUGAAGGAUGACAUGCCAGCAGCCCGCCCAUCAUCUGACCGCUGAAUUUGGA